rnacentral:rRNA from 1 species
AUUGAACGCUGGCGGCAGGCCUAACACAUGCAAGUCGGACGGUAGCACAGAGGAGCUUGCUCCUCGGGUGACGAGUGGCGGACGGGUGAGUAAUGUCUGGGGAUCUGCCCGAUAGAGGGGGAUAACCACUGGAAACGGUGGCUAAUACCGCAUAACGUCGCAAGACCAAAGAGGGGGACCUUCGGGCCUCUCACUAUCGGAUGAACCCAGAUGGGAUUAGCUAGUAGGCGGGGUAACGGCCCACCUAGGCGACGAUCCCUAGCUGGUCUGAGAGGAUGACCAGCCACACUGGAAAUUAGACACGGUCCAGACUCCUACGGGAGGCAGCAGUGGGGAAUAUUGCACAAUGGGCGCAAGCCUGAUGCAGCCAUGCCGAGGGUAUGAAGAAGGCCUUCGGGUUGUAAAGUACUUUCAGCGGGGAGGAAGGCGAUGUGGUUAAUAACCGCAUUGAUUGACGUUACCCGCAGAAGAAGCACCGGCUAACUCCGUGCCAGCAGCCGCAGUAA